rnacentral:tmRNA from 1 species
GGGAGCGAAAGGAUUUCGACGGGGAAUUUGAGUUUCAAUAAGCGAGCAGAGGCGGGGAACCUCUAUAAACUCUCCACUCUAUAAAAUAAAUAACGACACUAAUCCUGUCUUAGCAGCUGCUUAAUCGCAGCCGCCGUUCUUACCGGGAGUAUCGCGGCCCGGAUAAGAGCGUCAUGCAGCGGUGAACGUGCACGGAGAAUACCUCGUACUCCGUCAUGCAGAACGGGGCUGUCCCGACCCGGAGCGUGCUUUUUCGCGCCGGCAAGGGAGAGAAUGAAAUAAAAAGCUACGCUCGUAGAAAGUUGAUAGGAGAGUUCUUCGGACAGGGGUUCGCCUCCCCUCGCUUCCACCA